UACGUAGGUGGCAAGCGUUGUCCGGAUUUAUUGGGUUUAAAGGGCGCGUAGGCUGUGCUGUAAGUCAGGCGUGAAAGGCCCGGGCUCAACCUGGGAACUGCGUUUGAUACUGCGGCGCUGGAAUGCAGGAGAGGAUGGCGGAAUUCCCAGUGUAGAGGUGAAAUUCGUAGAUAUUGGGAAGAACCCCGGUGGCGAAGGCGGCCAUCUGGCCUGCAAUUGACGCUGAGGCGCGAAAGCGUGGGGAGCAAACAGG
rnacentral:rRNA from 1 species